UACGGAGGGGGCUAGCGUUGUUCGGAAUUACUGGGCGUAAAGCGCACGUAGGCGGCUUUGUAAGUCAGGGGUGAAAUCCCGGGGCUCAACCCCGGAACUGCCUUUGAUACUGGGUAUCUCGAGUCCGGAAGAGGUGAGUGGAAUUCCGAGUGUAGAGGUGAAAUUCGUAGAUAUUCGGAGGAACACCAGUGGCGAAGGCGGCUCACUGGUCCGGUACUGACGCUGAGGUGCGAAAGCGUGGGGAGCAAACAGG
rnacentral:rRNA from 1 species